rnacentral:rRNA from 1 species
UACAGAGGGUGCAAGCGUUGUUCGGAAUUAUUGGGCGUAAAGGGCGCGUAGGCGGUUCGGUAAGUCUGUAGUGAAAUCUCUGGGCUCAACUCAGAGUCUGCUAUAGAAACUGCCGUGCUAGAGUGCGGGAGAGGCGAGUGGAAUUGCAGGUGUAGCGGUGAAAUGCGUAGAUAUCUGCAGGAACACCCGUGGCGAAGGCGGCUCGCUGGACCGCAACUGACGCUGAGGAACGAAAGCUAGGGGAGCAAACAGG